AUAAGUUCAAUUAGCCAGUUCUCUAAAAUAGUCUUGGAAAAAAAUGAUAAUUUGUUACAUUUCUCAAAAAAGGAAGCUGUGAGGAAAAGAUUUGUAUAUGUCUUCCCUAAGAAAACAUCCUUUCAUCUUUGUGUCCCAGUAAAACACCAUUUGACAUAAUUGACUUUACAAACAAGCAAGAAGUUUCCACUUCAUAUUACACUUUUGCUCAAGGCCUGGAAAAAGAGAAUGAGAUGACAGUGGAACUGUCAAAAGAAGGAACUAUUGGACUGUGCUUCAGCUCUUCACCUAAUUAACGAGCUAAUGUAAAGUACUUUCCCUUUUCUCACUGGUUCUGGGGAGCCUUGUGUGCAGCUGCACCAGAACACCCUGAGAGAAAAUAUGGAGUGAGGAAAAACACAGGAAAGCUUGUCCCAAGGAGCCAUGACAGCUGGAGAACUGUCCCUGCCCCUCACCUGCUACAUCACUCAAGAGAGCAAGCCUGUACCUCAUCUGGGAAGAAAAGUAGAGCUGAUGCUGAAGGCAGAGUGAGCGGAUCGAAGGUUUCAUCCACAAACCAACGUGCAUGUUGUUGAACUGCCACACUGGAAGUGAACAAUAUGAUAGCCCCUCUGGGUUCACAAUGGAGUUGUUAUGGUAUUGUGGAGAAGUGUCACUGAAAAGUUACAUCUACAUGAGGAAGGACAUAUGUAAUUUGCAGGGCAGGAGUCAUAGCCCUAUGUAGCUAUAAGUGAACAAUUAAAAUCGAG